GACGAACGCUGGCGGCGUGCCUAACACAUGCAAGUCGAGCGGAAAUAUUCUGAAGAGUAAUCGGAAGGAUAUUUUAGCGGCGGACGGGUGAGUAACACGUGGGCAACCUGCCCUGUACAGGGGGAUAACACUGGGAAACUAGUGCUAAUACCGCAUGAUACGCGAAGAUGGCAUCAUUUUUGCGUCAAAGGAGAAAUCCGGUACAGGAUGGGCCCGCGUCCGAUUAGCUAGUUGGUGAGGUAAUGGCUCACCAAGGCGACGAUCGGUAGCCGGAUUGAGAGGUUGAACGGCCACAUUGGGACUGAGACACGGCCCAGACUCCUACGGGAGGCAGCAGUGGGGAACAUUGCACAAUGGGGGAAACCCUGAUGCAGCGACGCCGCGUGAAGGAAGAAGGUCUUCGGAUCGUAAAACUCUGUCCUUGGUGAAGAAAAGGACGGUAGCCAAGGAGGAAGCCCCGGCUAACUACGUG
rnacentral:rRNA from 1 species